GAUCCUGGCUCAGGAUGAACGCUGGCGGCGUGCUUAACACAUGCAAGUCGAGCGAAGCGGUUUCAAUGAAGUUUUCGGAUGGAUUUGAGAUUGACUUAGCGGCGGACGGGUGAGUAACGCGUGGGUAACCUGCCUUACACUGGGGGAUAACAGUUAGAAAUGACUGCUAAUACCGCAUAAGCGCACAGGGCCGCAUGGUCCGGUGUGAAAAACUCCGGCGGUGUAAGAUGGACCCGCGUCUGAUUAGGUAG
rnacentral:rRNA from 1 species